rnacentral:lncRNA from 1 species
AUCAAGUUGAUUUCUAAAGUUCAUUUGGAAGAGUAAGUACAAUUAACUAGGAAACCCUUGGGAAUAACAACCAUAAGAGGAGAAUCCUACCAGAUAUUAAAACAUAUUAUGAAAUCUCUCUAAGUGUGCAUGAAUAGAUGGUUUAAUGGAAUAGAACAGAAAAUUUAGAAUAGACCCAAUGACAUAUGGAAAUUUAGUAUAUGAUAAAGAUGGUGUCUCAAGUUGGUAGGAGAAAGGUGGGCUUUUUGAUAAGUGACACAGGAUAACUAAAUAGCUAUCUGAAAAAAGAUAAAAUUGACAGAGCCCAGACCCAGACCCAGCUCAACUACAAAUGAGAUUUAUUCAUUCUUGAGUUGGGGGUUACCAAGACCACCCUCAGGUUCAAUGACUCACUGAGAAGACUUGCAAGACUCAGCAUAUAGUCAUACUCAUGGCUACAAUUUAUUAUAGUAAAAGAAUACAAAGCAAAAUCAGCAAAGGGAAGAGGCACAUGGGGUGAAGGCUAGGGGAAACCAGGUGCGAGCUGCCAAGGGUCUUCUCCAAGUGGAGCCACACAGCACAUGCUUAUCUCCCCAGCAAGGAACUGUGACAAUACUUAUGAAAUGCUGUCAACCAGAGAUGCUCGUUAGAGACUUAGCGACUAGAAACUUUAGUGAUGGCUGAUCAUGUAAGUACCCUCUGCCUAGCAUGUACUAAAAUUCCAUACUCCCAGAAAAAAAGGCAGGUAUGCAGCAUAAAUCACAUUGUUUGUAUAAAUGCUUUAGAAAGUGUAAGCUCCUCUUAACAGUGAGGUGCUACGAACUGUCUUGGAAGUCCAUGUUCUCAGAUGCCAGCCCAAGCUUGUAAGCAGGUCUUUCAAAGGGGAGCAGCCAAGCCUGCUAUAUUAACUCUUUUCUACACAAUCCACCACACUAAUAACAUAUACUUUCCCAAGGCCAACUAUUGUUUACCUC